ACUUUUUUUUUUUUUGCAUGCUCCUUUGACGCCAACGACCACAAUAAUAAUCCUACCACAACUAAUUAAAAAAAUAACAAUGAGUGCGUUUGGCCUGCUAAAAUUUGAAUUUGUUAGUGAUAAUGCAGCUAUACCUAUUUGGACAUGUUAAAAAGAACAGCAAAUAUAUUUUGGAUUGAUUUUAUCUUUAUUCUUUCCGUAAGUAGCAUGGUGUAGUUUCGUUCCACGUACAUAUUAGAUAAACAGCCCAAAAUUACUGGCCGUUAAUUUUGUCCUUUUCUGUCUGCCCUUUGUGUAAGUUGACAAUGCUGCACAAGGCUUUACUCAUGUUAGCUAACCACCCGACCUUCUCCUUUACUCUUCAAAUUUCCUCAUCUCUCUCCACCAAAUAAUAACAACCAUUUACCAGAUCUGGAUCUCAUCCCAUAGGGGCCUGGGCAAGCGCAUGGUGUUGGACGAACAACUUAUUUGUGGGAUUCACUGCAAACCACUGAUGAGUUAGAAAUCAUGCUGCCUUUAUCCGCGACUCCAGGCUAAUCUAUAGAGGUAAAUAAGAGUUUAUCAGCGACACACUCCAGCGACAUCCAAUGUAUUUCCUUGUUCUUUCAAUUUUAAUUUUUCUGCUAUCAACAUGUCUUCCCCUUCUACACCUACCAAAGGGAAUUUUUUUAGCUUCACGGGAAUUUAAUUUUCUAUCCAACUAAUACCAACCUAACGGUCCAUGAAAGAGUUGUUAUGUGUUGCUGUUCUAAUGAUGUAUUCCAGGCAAACCUACAGCAAUCCACUAAUACUUCUAUCUUUUGUUACAGUAUGGUUGUAUUGAGUUGGUCAAUUGUACGAAUUGCACAUUAUAGUCCAUUUUUGCACGGUUAUUAAAACAUGAUUAUAAGUUGUAUACUACUGUUCUGUAUUUUAUCUCCAGAACUAGGGUUUGUUUGCUUGUUUAAUUUUUUUAUAAAUUGUAGGCUACUCUGUGGUGGUAAUCAUUUAAACUAUAAAUGGAUGUGAUUGGGAUGACUAUGACUGUCUGUAAUUUCACCCUUAUUUAUGCUUAGUAUGCUACAAUUUUAAGCACAAAUUAAGAGACGACAAACUCAUAUAUUACAUCUAUAUGGCUGAAAAUAUAGAUGCGGCAAUUAUCUAUUGGUCUGGUAAUAGCAGCUUGCGAGCUGCUAUUACUAUCUUACAAUUUUUUUAAAAAUUAUUUUAGAUGUAGAUAUUUGUCCCCGUACAUUUAAUUUAAAAUUCCUAACUUAACUGAAAUUGAAAAAGCACUAAGUGACACGUUUGUUUGCUUAAUUAUAUGACUGUUCCAAUAUCUGUAACACUUUAUUCAUCCAUUUGUGCUUACACUCAUAACAAAAAACUUGUCCAUGGAUUUGAAAAUAAUCUUCUUUUGUCCUAUACAUUUUUAAGCUUGAAUGGAUGUUAGAGUGUGACUUUGUUCAAAAGACGGAUAUGCAAUGUUGAUAUUACAAAAAUUGUCAUCUUAACUGGUUCUAGAGUCCGGUAAUUCGUACUCCUUAAGUUAUUUGUGGUAGCAUUGCUGCACCUGUUUUCCUUAUAGGUAUUGGAAACUCCAUUGUAUUUGUUAAACCAACACUUGUUUGGCCUGCAAUGCAUUAGUCAUUCAGCCCAUGAAUGCAGCUAAGUGCAAAAUUGACUUCCGCUGUAAGUCCCUCUAACCUUUAUCAGUGUCAUAUAUUCAUUCAUGGUCUAUUACUAAACAAAUUUCGUGAUUUGAAGUUUCUCCUACUAGCUGCACAUCCUAUUGCUUUUCCAACUCAUCCAGCGGUUCAAAUAACUUUCAACAGUGUAUGGACAACUACAAUUAGCAUGUAAAGCACCGAGAACCUUUAUGCUGUUCUAUUUUUUUUUUGGUCCAAACUAGUGACAUUUACAUGCCAAUGUGCAUAACAAUGGCAAAAUUUCUGCUCUUAUAUGCAGCAAAUGAACAAGAAAUUGCAGUGGACUUAUACCAUGGACUUCAACUUCAUCACCACAUAUGUUGAUUGGAAGCAAACGAAAAAAUGCGACAAUCAUAAGGCAAAUGACUAGAAUUACGAUAUGCUUGCCGCAUAUUUGAGGGAACAUUUUGAGAUGCAAGUCACCGGGGGCCAGUGCCAGUCAAGAUUGUAUAGGUUCAAGAAAAAGUAGAAUGUGUUUUCCAAUCUUCGUGGUUUGUCUUCUAAACCUGAGACUGGGAUUGGUUGGGACAAAGAAAGUAACUGCUUCAUGGCCAGCGACGAGCACUGGCCCCAAAUGGAAGCAAUAUGCGAGCAUAUAUUUGCAUUCCUUUCUCCAUGCUCACCCUCCAUUUGUGUAUCGUACUUGCUCAACAUGAAAUACCUACUCAAUUGCUUUUACUAAAGUUGUUCAAAUAAACGUGCAUUCUUUCCAAUACUUAUUUUUAUUCCAACCAUUUUUGUAAUGUCUGAAGCUACAAAAUGACUAGUUUCCAGUCCGUUAUUCGAUAUUACAUCGACGUACAUUCCUCCUAAAUGUUUGACAUUUAUCGGUUGGCUAUUAACUAACUUAUCGAUCUUUAAUUUUAAGGUGACCAAAGACUACAAAGACUUCAAAGCUCUUGGAAGUUGCUUCCUAUAUGAUAUUUAUACUCAAACAACUUUGAAAAAAACUACAACAGGCAGCUACGCCCAGUCCGCAAGUCAACUGGUCCCCGAGGAUGAACACCAGCGGUCACUUCUUGGAAUGCUACAAAGAGCAAAAGAAAGGCUCCAGUCUCAACUUCGGCGGCCCUUAGCUACCACUAUUACCCUUGGGAAUGAGAUGAUGUAUACUAAUACCUCUGGUACCGGGAGCGACACUUGGAAAGCGUCCCACCUCAAGUUUUGGCACUACUGGUGAUCGUGAGGGAUCUAGAGGUGCUAAAUCAACAAGAUUGUCAAGUGAUAGGGAAAGACUAGAUGAUGCAAUUAGCAAAAUCUUUUGCAUCACCACUGCUUCCAUGGAGACAAAACACAGUAGGUAUGAAGAGGAAGCAAAGUACAGCGUACCGGUAGUGCAGGACAUCAUGAAGCACAUGCAACUUCCAAAAUCGAUUAAGUUGAAAGCUACCAUGUACUUUGCCCGAAAAAAAAAUGAGGGACAAAGAAUAGCAUUCGUACGCUUUGAUGAAGCCAAGUGCUGUGAUUAUAUUAAACUCAUUAUGGAGGAGCUUGGUAGUGGCAUGCCCCUGGAGUGAGUGUUCAUAUGGAUAAGGAGUUGGAGGAAAAGGCCGAAGAGUGUUUGUCCAUACCUGCCGAAAUUGGACUUGUGCCAAUUUGCUUUGUAAUUUUCAAAAUUCAAUUCCCAUGCCGAACUUUACUUGAACUAUCUCUUGGUUGCUUCUUGACUUAAUUCUUAAUUGUAACGUUUGGUCUACUCGAACCGGGGUGCUUGGUUGAGUGUUCAAUGCUGGUUCUUUACUUCUUCUGAGAAACUUAUUUGUGGGAAUUAUCUAAUUUUACAAACGGGUGGCAUUGGUGUGUGGCUUUAUUUAGAGGAGGGUAUUUCAUUCUACGUUCAAAAUAACUAAUGGUGCAGGUGCAAUUGUGAAAGGGGUCAUAAUAACCCGUGGCCAUGAUUGCUUGUUUUUAAAUUGGCAAGGCCACGAAGUUAUCACACAGCUAAAUUAACAAAAACGUUCGAAUACUUUUUUGUUAGAAUAGCAUUACAUCAAGUCCAAUUGUUCAUAAUACAUUAAUUGAAAUUGUUUAAAUGGCAUCAUACCGGUAGUGCAUUGUGGAAAUGUAGUCAUGUCUCUAUUGUGUGAUGUUAGCCUCAAAAGUGCAUCUGACAUAUAAGGACUUAUCAACUUUUUUGAAAAUACGAGUCAUUUUAUCAGUUGCAACCAGGCACAGUGCUCAAGUUUGAUAGUGCUCAGUUGUGGCAUAAGGAACAACUAAUGGAAUCCAAUGUUUGAAGGAUGACUUUGCGAAAACAAGUUGGGACUUGCAUUUCUAGGGCGAUGGCCCCUAUCAACAGGGGGCCGGGUAGAAAGAAACAGUGCGUUCGUGCUCCGAAAAAAUAUCUGCUCCAUACAGUUCUAUAUUAUAGUGUCCUUGCAUAUGUUUCAAAGCACGAAAUUACUCUACUUUGGGGGAAAGAGUUAAGGAGGACUGCCUCUUGGACAAGGCUCCAGUUCAUCAAAGGAGAAAACCAAGCAGGUGAGUUCAAGGUUUGGUUGAUAUUUUAUUUUCUUUCUUCAAAACUUGUACAAAAAACUCCCUUGUUGUGUACUUAUUGCAGGGGAUAUAGAUUGCCAUGAAUACAGUAGUGGCAUUCAUAGCUCAAACAAUGACCUAACAUCUGAUAAUGAGGAGGACGACUUGCUAGUUACACUUGUAGCAGAGUUGAUACUUUUACAUCCGGAGGUAUAAAGGUACAGAGGACCGAAUAUCAAAAUUCCACACCAUGAUGGCUCAUUUUCAGGGUGCCAAUGGGUUGAACAGUUGAUCAAUGGUUAUUACAAACGAAUAAUCUUUGGUUGACGAUUUCUUCCUACUUUAUGACAUACUAAAGUACAAUAAUUACGUACCUCAAAACUAUAAAAAAAAAACGAGUCAAAAUCGAAGAGGCACUGGCCAUGACUUUGGUAAUGGUAAGUCAUAAUGCCCGCAACCGAGUUUUGACAGAGCGUUUCAAUAGAUUAACGGGGACAAUUAACUGAAAUGUAAGGGAAAUUCUACACGGUCUUUGUAUGUUUGUUUCGCAAAUAAUUUGCCCGUUUGACUACGAUCUAGUACAUCCAAGAAUCGAAAAUUCGACAAAAUACUUCCCGUGGUUCAAGGUUAGGCUGUGUCUACCAAAAUAAGUAUGCAAAUGUUUGAAGUUCUUUUAUCUGAACACAAGCCGUUAUAAGAGAGCAAAUGUAAUUUUAAUUGUUGGAAAAUGCAGGAUGCAGUGGGAGCAAUCGAUGGCACUCACAUUCCUGCGUGCCCGCCCUCGGGUCACUAAAUGGCGUACGUAAAUCGACUUGGGUUUCAGUAGCAAAAUCUUCUGGCAGUUUGUGAUUUUGACAUGCGAUUCACGUACAUAUACGCUGGAUGGAAAGAAAGUGCACAUGAUGCCCAAGUGGUGGAUGAUGCUCUAUCACACUCGUUGAACUUUCCAAUGCCACCUCAAAGUAAAAUGUUUUGUAAAGUACGCUUAGAAAAAUUAAGGUUAAAGUACUUAAAAGUACGUUAAAGUAUAUAGUUUGACAGUACUAAUUUAAGUACUAUUUUUUUGAAAUAUUUAAACAUUUAAAGUACUACAGUCAAACAAUAUACAUUUAAAGUUCUAUAACUUUUGCUUCGAGAUGGGUUUCUGUUUUAGAAUUCAAAGUACUUUAAAGCCACAAGUUUUUUCAAGUACUUAUUUAAGUACAAUUUUUUUGAAGUACUUUAAACAGUUAAAGUGUUAUAGUAAAACAUUUAAAGUACUAUAACUUUUGCUUAAAAAUUCUACAAUCAUUAGGAACUGACACCUAACUAUAUACAUUUAAGGUAAAUACUACCUUGUAGAUGCUGCAUAUAAGAAUGUUCCAGGUUUUUUACCACCGUAUAAGAAUGCAGCACGGGAAGGGGGGUCCAAAAAAUGUUUUAUUUAGUACGUGCCACUCGAAGUUUAGAAAUGUCAUUGAACGAACCUUUGGAGUGUUGAAGAAUAGAUUUAAACUUUUAAAGGGAUCAACUCAAGUUUUUACAUGACGACUCAAGUUAGUGUUGUUAUAACUUGCUAUGCAUUGAACAACUUUCUUCGCUUAAACCAACCAGGCGACGCCCACUUUCAAUUGUACAAGGAGGGCAAUGUUGGAUUAGAGCACCAAGAGGGUGGCAUUGAGAGGGCAAACAUUCAACCAUUGAAUGCAUCCCGAGCUGAAAUUAUGGCUUGGAAGGUUAGGCAGGAUGCGAUUGCAACUGAAAUGUAUGGAGCACAAUGUAGGAGGAAACGCUAGACAGUGAGGAGUGUAACUCAGACCUAGCGUUUCACCGAGGGCAUUAAGUUAUAUUUGUGUUUGAAAAAAAGGGCUCAAAUGGUUGCCAAGCAAAUUUAGAUUGUGUAUGAAUAAACCACUAUUCUACUAUGGUGUAUCCAUUAGACAGUAGAUAAUCAUAGAUAAGCUUAGGAAGUUCCAUGUAAUAUCCGUAAAGCUGCGUGGUUUGUAUUGCUAUGGCUGGCUUUUACCAUGAUUGAAUGUUUAUUUUAUUUGCAACGGUAAAUGUGUGUGUGACCGGAUGGAAUGAGUUUCCUAUUGCACUAAAUAAUUGUCAGGUUAUCCAAACACCUAUUUGGAAUAUAUUCAUGUUGUCCAAACGAUUAUCUUUCACCCCUACAUUUCAAAAAGUCAACAAAUAAUUAUUCAAAGAAUUAUACCAAAUAAUCUACUAUCGAAACUCACUCAAUAAAACCAUGAAGAUAGUCCUAAAUUUGAACCUAAAUAAUUUAUUCUAAUGUGGAGGAUGCAUCCCUGAACCUAAGGGAUAACUCGUUCCACAUUAGUUUGAAAACAAUUGAUAUCGGCAUUUAGGUGUAAAAUGUUUUACAUAGGCAUAUGUUAAAACAAUUGAUAUUGGCAUUUGGGUGUAAAAUGUUUUACAUAGGCAUAUGUUAUUGGUUUAACAAUGAAUAAAACCAUGAAACAUGUAAUUUUGUGAAAAACGUUUACUUGAAGAAAGAUUUCUUGACAAGCUUUUACUUAAUGGAAGUGAAUAAUACUUAAUGUAUUUUUUUCGUCUAAUAAAUAUGUUAGAUAGUGUUUGGGAAGAAUAAAAUAGACUUGACAAUAUAUCUAUGGUUAAAACAUACAAGGGGUCCUAACUGUUGUCACUUUAGAGAAGUUUGGGAUCAGAUUUUACCAAAAAUAUAAAAAUUCAAAAUGUAAGAUACAGAAAACACCACGUAAUUCUAAUUCAACUAAUAUGUGCAAACUCAUCUGUACUCAAGAUGUACAAAUGGUUAUCAACGAAUUACAAUAUGCUAAAAAAUUCUUAUAUUAUUCAGGAAUGGUUCACUGGCAACCGUUCCUCAGUGUUUUUAAGAUCGGACCGGACCGGACAGUCGAACCAGUUCGACCGUGAACUGCCAAUGCUGCCGGUCUGGUUGUAUGCUAAACCCGAAGGAUGUUAAAGAACCGGUCAAAACCGGUAAAAACUGUUAAACCGGUAAAACCAGGUUGAAACGUAAAAGUUUGAUUUUAAGUUUUCUUAUCAAUAUGGCCCACUUUACUAAAUAAUGAAUACAUUUGCUCCUUGAUUUACUCUUCCACACCAAACGUCCACCAACAUAAUUGAGAAUAUCACUCCUCCGUUACCAAACUUCCACCAUCAUCCAAAUUCCACAACCUUAUCUUUAUCUUAUUGAAGUCUAAAGCAUCUAGGAUUAGUCCAACCAUUAUAUCUUCAUCUUUUAAACCUCAAUCUCUCAUCUUGGUUUCAUUCACGUCAUUCAAGGCAAAGACCGUAGAAUCCAACAUCAAGAUUUUCUCUGUCUUCUUGAACAAGACCAAGAAGAAGAUCAGUUGCAUCAUCAUUAGCGGCAAAAGAUACUUAAAAGAAGAUCUACACUAUAUGCUUAGGUAUCAAAGAUCAAAGUGUUUUAUCAAUCACUAUUGCUUUCCAAGACCAAUCUCACUAGAUCUGGGGGUGUUCAAUGUGGUGGUGGAGGAGAUGCACCUCCAACUUCGAUCAAAGGCAAUUCCCAAUUAGAUGUUGGUUUUUUUUCGCUCUUUUCUUAUUUUCUUCGUUUGUGUUUUGGGGAGUUUGAAACCUCUCCUCAACUCAAAAAAUCUGAAAUUUAUUUCUAUGUACUUAAAUUCUUUUUUUUUUUUUGGUUUUGGUGAAAAAGACAAUUAGUGGCUGAUUUCUGCAAAAUUGUUUAAUGUGAUUAUUCUUUGUAAAUCAUGAUGAUAAAUUUGGGAUGUUGAUGUUAUACACUUGUCACCGUAGAUCAUGUCACUACUGCAGAUGGGGUCAUUGAUGGUGACAGAGAUUAUUUUUAGAAUUUGUAAUUUUAAAAAAUAAAUAUAAAAAUAUUGAAUCAUUGACCCAGCCAGUUAAACCGAUUGAACCGAAAAAAAUCGGAACCAGUAACUCAAUCGAGUCGUUCACCGGUCCGAAUUUUAAAACAUUGUCGUUCCUACCACUCUUCCGAUUAAAAUUGUACUCUGCAAGGAAGUUGAGGUGGUAAGGCAUGCAAGAUGCAAUGUUAUGCUUCCUAUUAAACCAUACAGUAAGGCAUGUCUCCUGUGAUACCUUAAUUGAUUAGCUAAUAUUAAAUGAGAAAACACAUAUUCUUAUGAUGUGUGGUGGAACGAUUAGUGUACCAAAUUUUGGCAUCCUAAAUCCAAUUUCCUAAUUUAUGGUCAAAUGUCUUGCUUUUCAACUAUUCAAAAAUCUCGUAGAAUUUCAUUCCAAGCAUGCGAGGAACAAAGGUCCAAGCUUCCAAGUUUUAUUGCCAUUUCCCACCUAGAGCAAAUUAUUUCCAUCACUUACACGACAUAAGUUUGACAAAUCAUAAGGUCUUGUACGGUCACUCGUGCUUCCGAAUGCGGCCGAUCAAGUCACAAUCGCACGCCUGCAUAACCAAGGGAGUAAUUGAAAAUUAACAACUUCUGGCCAAGCACCAACCAGAAUUUUGGCAUGCUACAAAUUUCACCUAGGUAAAAUAGCUCUUAAUCGAUGUAGGUUAGGAAAUCAAUACCCGAUCUUCACAUCAUUAUGUGAUGAAUUAUUGAAGACUUGGCAAUUAUAAUAAUUUAGAAGAAAAAAUACAAAAAAUGCAUUAUACAUUAUAGAAGUAUUCUUCUUAGCAUCAUCAUCAACACAAGAAAGACAAGUGAACAUGUCACAAUACUCAUUUUAUAAUGCAGUUCUGAAAUUCACAUAUUUUGAAUACUGUUUCAAAAAGAAGGAAAAAGAAUAAAGCAAGAUUCUCCCUAUCCACGUUUCAAUACAAUGUUGGCACCUGACUUUGCAAAUAUUUACUAAGUGUGCCUUUGUAUUAGCCGCCUAGCAUCUAAACCUCUAUGGGUACACUUUAACAUAAACCCCAGAGAUGAGUACAAAAUUGAUCAACUAGCACUGUCUUCAUAGAGAUGUAUUGCAACACAAUUGACAUAUCUCCCUGUGAUAUCUACUGGUCGAAGAAUCUGCUUCAGCCUCUUCACAUGGAGCGAGGAGAUGUCAAAAUUUUAGCUGCAAUAUCCACCCUCCAACAUGAAUCAAGCUGCACUUGCAAUAGUCUGAUUUGCAUUUGUGGAAAUGCAUUUGCUAGAUGAAUGAAGAGACCUAAAGGAUGAUUGUUGCUCAUUGCUCAAGGAAGAAAACCACUUUCUUACAGCGUCCAUUGCAACUGGUUGAUUACCAGUAGCAAAACUCUCAAAAUUCGCUUCAACAACUUCUUCAAAUGACUUAGCGAUUAGAUCAAGUAAGGCAAAUGCAGAAGCAAACUGGAUCAGAAGACCAAAGUCCUUAAAUGUGGUGCGGCUGAGAAAAGCAGACAACCAUUGCCUGAUGCUCUCAACUCCAGAAUUCUCAUAUCCAUUGGCAUCGACUCCAAUCCUGAGUGCAUCAUAGUACAAAUAAAUUAUUUGAUUUAAUGGAUUAAACCAAGAAACUACCAAGAAGUGCAUGUGAAUUCAAGGAAAAGAAACCCACAAUAAUGUGACAGAAACGGUCUUAGUGUUGGCAACGACUAGGCAAGAUAUGAAUUCCAGUGUACCACUAAAAACAAUGAGCUAUAACUACGCUGACUUAUUGCCCUGAAGAUGAAAUGCAGCACAUGCAUAUUCUCUACCAGUUUCUAACGCAUUUUAAGCAUCUUCAGCUGAUAAGGCAUUACCUUGCAACAAUCAGGAAAUCUCACAAAUACUGGAGCACACAAUACAACAUUACCACCAUGGAGACCGAGCCAAUUAAAAAAUAUUUUAAAGUUCACUUAAAUAUGUACUCUUAAGCCGCAUAAGUCAAUGACAGCAACUGUUUUUCACCUUCAAAUUUACACACUACCUCUUCUUCACUAUUGAAGGGAGACUCAAAAUUUGUUGGAAUACAACUUCAAAUGACUCGAGAUGAUAUUUACAACACAAUAAAUACAAAACCGACUGAACAUAAAAGGUGAUGAGAACACAAUAAGCUCUCAAUUGGCAAAUCAUCAAGACAUCAACAAAUCCAAACUCCGGAAGAUCAACAAAUUAUGCUAGUUUCAGGAGACUGCUGUUGCUUAAUUCCCUCCUUUUGUAAAUUUGAAUUAACAACUUGCUAUAUUACUAAAGUUCAUACAACAGUAAGCAUUUUUACAGCAAUAUGAUGUACAUUUGCAUGUUGAUGGCUUACCUCCCAAGUUGACCCAGAAGAGUUAUAAUGGCAGGAAAAAACUGCUCUUGGACACAGUCCAGCAUCCGAAAAAGCGGCAAGACAAUAUUGCCAAAUGUCCAGUCCCAGCUCUGUAUACGAUGGAUAAAUGGGUAAGAUUGAGAUAAAACUUCUUUAGUGGAGGGGAAAAUUUUGAGACAGAAUUAACAUCAAACAAUGUGUUUGGUUACUUAGGAAGAGAAAACAGGCAUCAACUUGUUAAAAAUAAAAAUAUAAAAAAGGAAAUGAACAAAUGAAAGAUUUACAAACUUAGAGAUUCACCAAAUCAUUAUAAGAUAACAACAGGUUUAAAACUCAGUAAUGGACGGGUUUAGAAAUUCUCAUAUACUUCUACUCAUUUGGUAGAACAUUCCUAACUGCUUAAACCAACUACAUUUUGGUUUAAAAGAAAAAGAAACACUUAAGAUAUACAAAAUUAUAACUGCUUUUCAUAUCUGCAGACUUUCCUCACCUACAUGCCUCUUUAAAUGUGAUACAUUAUAGGAUAAUAAAUGAGCGUGUGAAGUUAACAACAUCCUCAAUGGACACCAUCAAACAAAUAAAUAGACACUAGACAUGAACCAAUUAAUUCCAAAUCAACCUCAUAAUUUAUCCAAAAUGUAACAAAUAAUUCAUUACAACAACUUAACAUUAUUUCCCUAAAUUGACACCAAACAUGAACCAAAUUAAUUCCAAAUCAACCUCAUAAUUUAUCCAAAAAAAAGUCACAAAUAAUUGAUUACAAUAACUUAACAUGAUUUCCCUAAAUAUCCAUACAGUUUAAUAUCCAGAGUUAAGAACAUUCAAACUACUCCAGAUGACAUAAGAAAAUUACCUCUCUCUCCCAACUAAUCAACCUUUCUUUGUUGUUUAUGAUGUUAUAGAUUUCUCCAGUUAAACCCAAAAUAAACAAAAUCACAAAGCUACACAACUAUCAGGGUGUUGGUCCAAACUAACUCACAAGAAGAAAGGCAGCCAAAAUUGGCAGUCUUUUCAGUUCAUUCAAUUCGACGAUACCAGCAUAAGUAGACUUAUUAAGUGCUCCACAUUUCCAGCUCAAUCAUGAGUUCCCUGAUGAGGGUACUCAUAAUUGACAAGUGCACAAAUUUCAUUCCUGGACUACCAACUAAAAACAGGUUCAUCUUCAUAGAAUGGCUAAAGCUAUUGAGAAGCACAGAUACUUCUAGUAUAAAUUGGCAGAUCAUUUUUUGAGAUGACUUGAGAAGAGAUCCAUAAGCAAUGAUGCAAACACCUAACACUCCAUGGACGAGGAAACACUAAAAGCAAUACUCCCUUGUUCCACAUACAGAAACUUAGGCAGCAUACAAAAUUGUAGCAUGCAAAAAUUGAACUAAAAUUAUUUGCAACAACAAUUACAUUCUGAAAGCAAAUCCAGAUUUGGAACAUGUCAGAGUUUUAAAAACAAGUUCACUGGAGAAAAGAAUUAGAAUCUUGUAAGAGCGUGUCUUGAGGGUAUUUUGACAAAAAUAGCUGAUUGGAAGCAGUUGUAGCUCAAAGUUUACGAGUAACAAGCAUGCUGUGUUUCUCAUAGCUUGCAGCAAGGGAAAAUAUUGGGUCGGUUACUUUUAAUUGGCAUUACAACUUGGAAGCACAUAAUAAUAUGGCAGGGUAACGCUUCAUAAAAAUUUAAGUUCUCUACAUGGACAGUUAGUCCGUCCUAAAUUGAGCCUCAACAUGUAUGCCCUAUAUUGAGAAAUAUCCACUGGGCAGCAAUGUUGCUUCACAUCAUCCCAUACACAAGGCAGCCAAUUUGGAAAAAGAAUUAGCAUUAAAUUUAAUGAGCAUCCUUAACAAUCCAAAUCUAAACAAUCAUCGUAACAAGAUGGUUAAAAUCCUUAAAAGGUUAAAUUUUUUUUAAUUAACAAUGAAACAAAGAAGUUACUCGAGGUAAUCGGAUCAAAACCACUAAAGCAGGUACUAGGAUGGCAAAACUGCAGGCAAGCCAAACUCCAAAAAAACUAAUCCACGCAUAUCUAUUCUUAAAAAUUCAUCAUUUUAACUUCCACGCAAAAUCAUUUUUUUAAUCCUAUGGACAGGACAAUCUAUCAAUAGUUUCUGCCAGAAGUAACUAACAAAUUACAGAGGAACUUCGAGAUGACCCUCUGCGAAUAUGCUCCUGCCACAGGUAAAAUGACUUGUACCACAUCUGAAGAAGUUCCUAAGAAGUUUGCAAAGUGUAUUCAACCAGAUUCUAAGAAGAAUAUGCAAAAACAACUUCUUAACCAUAUUAGCUAUCAAGCAACAAAGACAUCAAAUUUUCCGCGCAAGUGAAGCUUGUUAAAAUUCAGAGAUGUAGAACCUAGUAAUUCCUGAAGAAUUUUGAAUAUAAGAUUUACAGAUAAGGAAGGAAGAUUAUAUGACAAAAGUUAUCAGCUAAAUGAUAAAUGUUUAAUAGUCAAAAAGCAUUGGAGCAACGUACCACAGAAACUGCCACAAGUUCUAGCAAUGAAAGCGUAUCAAUGAAGUUGAUCAAGUUUUCAUUAGGAACAAAAUUCGAUGGAAUAGCCUCUCCAUGGCAUUGAACAUCCAUCUUUUUCAUUUCCAAUAUCACUGAUUGACAACUUGAUGAAUUCAAUGCUUCCAUUUGUUCCUUAAGUUUUCCAAGGAGAAUGGAUACAAUAAAAUCAACUGAAACCACACCAUCCUUAAAUGGACAUGAACUACAUGCUGAAAUCUUCAUUGAUGUCCCAGCAACAGAAGGCAAGCAGGAAAUGCAACCGCCUGACAAAUCUUGCCUCUCAAGGAACACCACAAAACAUUUCAGGACAGACAUUUUUAAACUGAAGCCUUCUAGGGUAAAAUAUUUUGAACUGCAGAGAUAGGCAAAGACAUGGAGAAGCCUUAGCAGCAACAGAGAAUUAAUCUUCCUCAUGCUAAGUAUGUUGCAAGAGACCUCACAAAUGAAACCAAUUUCAUCAACUGCUGCAAAUAUCGAAGCUAAUAAUAAUCCGCCAGCAAACAGCAAGUCAGUGGAAGCUGGUUGGAUGGACCAGAAAAUGCAAUUAUCGUUAAGGACAACCUUGGCUCUUGAAUCAUGUUGAAGCAACACUCCAUGGGAUACAUCAUCAUACACCAAGAUUUGCCUAUUUAUAAGGAAAUCCUCAAUAAGAGACACUAGUUCAUGCAAAUCACAUGAUUCCAGAAACAUUUUCCUAGUAUCGGCAUCAUUCAGCACUGCAAAUACAGACAAUUUGAGAAGUAGGAUCCAAUGAAGCAUUAUAAGAAAAAAGGACAUCCAAAGAAGGGAUUACACACCUGCUCGCAUUUGUUGAGCAAAAGAAUCUAUAAAGCCAAGAGAAUUGCACACUAAAUCGCCAUGGUCACCAUUUGCAAUCUCAGAUGUGUAAUGCAAUAACAGCGAAAAGAACCCUGAGACCCGUUCCCUGGGAAAUAGCAAAGAGACGAAAAGCAUGUAAGCUUACAAUUCAAAUGAAGCAUAAUUACAGCCACCAGAUCAAUUCCAAGAAAAUACAUGCAAAUUCCACAAUAUGAAGAAGAACAGAAUAAUGAAGAUUCAUCACACCCUUUUCAAGAGAAAAUUGAUUAUAAAAUAUUGAAAAGGCAAGCUUCUAGCGAACCUUUCCACCAACAAGCCAUUUACAUACCAACUACUGCCACCCUUACCUGCCCUGCAACCCUAAUAUUUCAGUAGUAUGAAUUACCUUGUCCACAGUUCCCAUUUUCUGAGACAAAAAUUAUUAUAUUUUGUAGCAGAAGAAACUUCAAAAUGCAAUUGAGUAUGACUUCACAUGUAACAACAUUUAAUACACCAGGAAUACCAAUCAACAUCUUUAUUAUAACAUCUACACCAAUGAAAUGCAAUCGAAUAUGACUUUACAUAUAAUAACAUCUAUAUACCAAUGAUUAUCUAUACUAAAUGGAUAGUAGAGGGUUGGGUGUUAACUGUUUUUUGUCAUUUUCUGUAUUUCCUCAUUUACCCUUCACUAAAAAGCUAAAGAGUACCACAUCUUCCUCAAAAAAAAGAACAAAAAUAUACACUCGCAUUUAUUGGUGAAAAGAAACCUCCAAUGACUGCCUGUAACUUCUUUUUCUUUUAAGGAAAGGAAAACAAAAUACUCCCAUUUACAAAACCUAAGUAAACCUUUAAUAUUUGCUAAUUAUUUUUUUCUUAUUACUUUUUCUUCUAAUUUUCACACACAUAGGGUGUGCCUGCCCCAUUAGUGAAGACUAUGAUUUUUAUCUCCUAUCCAGUUAUCUCACUCUAUGCUACUUCCCAAGACAUCCCUGCUGAAAUAGGUGAAGCACAUCCCAUGCAGUUGCAUUCACAGCCAUAUUAACUUCUGCAGUAAGAGUACUACACUUCAAGAGUUACAAACUGUGUAUAGACAAUAUUUAGUAAACAUAAGACUUCUAAACAAGUUGAAUUUAAUAAGAUCCUACCACACCACCAGGAGUCUAGAAAAUACACUUACUGAGUUGAAAGAUUGUCGGCCUUCUGUAAAGAAAGCAGAAUAUUCUGCAUCCAUAACUUUAACGAAGAGUUACUCGACAACUUUGACAUACAAUCAGUGAUAAAACUGAAUAUCGUAGAAAUGGAGCUGCUGUCAUUAUUACUUGAGGAAACAGCACAGUAUACUGGAUACCCAUUGAAUGCAGCACUCCUGCUUUCACAGGGCAUUUUUAACUCAACAUUUUUCUGAGCAGUUGAUGCCAUGAUCAAGUUAUUGAUCUGACUGGAAGAAGAACUGCUCACGCAUAUAACAUCUGAGUCGUAACUCCCAUUGUUACCCAAGUUUUCAGAGCUUCCUUUAGUAGCCAUCCCAAGUGACAAAAUCUUUGAAGCCUCAAUGUCCUUCAAAUUCCUGUUAUUGGAAUCAAUCUCCAAAUUAACCACAUCAAAAUUGCAAGAUGGUACAACAUUCUGCUCUGCAUUUGAAAAUACUUCACAUAAACUCUCAUCCGGUAGAGAUCUAGAAGUACAAAUUUCAGUUUCAAAAGUCUCAUUAAAUGGAAACUCAAUAUUGCAUAGGACAGGAGAAAGGGGAGAAAUGGGCUUUCUAAUUGCUUUGCAGAAUCGGUUUUCAUCAAUAGGAUUGUCCAAUUGAACAAGUCCCAUGUAAUCAUGACCAAACACUUCUUCAGCGUUCGUUGGCUCAUGCAGCUUGCUUCCAAAAUGAUUAGUUAUGCCGUCCUUCAAAGUCGGGGCAGUUUGAAGUACAUCGCAUACAGCUGGUGAAGCAUUUUCGCAAACAUCAGAAUCUUCAGCACUGGUUUUCAGGACACAAGGGUCACACAAAUGAGGUACUGCUACACCUUGUCCAUUGGAUACUUUUUUCUUCUUAUCAGGUCUAACCAACUUGCUAUACAUAUUAUCUUGUACCAAAACUCUUUCUCCGAAAGAUUUAGGGCAUUCACCAUCCAACAUGCCAUGAAGCACAGAUAAUUUCUCUAAGACCUGCUGAUGCCACUUUUGACCUGCUGAAUAUAAAUCUUCAAUGGAUUCAACUGCAUCAGAAACCCUUUUCCUUUUCCUUUUCUUGUAGCUCCCACUCUCAAUAGCACCAGAUUUAAUAGGACUUCCUACACUAUUUUCGGCCCCCACUGCAAGUUUUUUGUCAUAUCUUUUUCUUGUAUCGCUUGAUAACCUGGAAGCGGUUGGUCCUAUAGUUUGUCCAUGUGCCAAAUUAGCUGAUGUAGUGACAGAAAAUGUACCUCUUUCCUGUGAGCCGACCAAUGGUCUAUCAGAAAAAGAUGCCGAACUGGAAUUUAUGGCAGAACUCUGUAACAUUUUUCUGUUGGAACCUCUAAGCAGAAGCUCCAAAUUAGAAUCAAUACCUGUAGUGGGACUUAAGUACAUCUCUCCAGACACAGGAGGCAACGACACAUUUAAUCUUUUGUUUCGCUUCAGUGGAGUAGAUCCACCCGUAGCAAUGCUGGUUAUACAACUUGGUUUUACGUGCUCAUUCUGAGUGUGAAGUACCAACUGCGAUGGUUUGAGGUGAAGAUGCUCUUGAUCCAAGUCUAGGCCCCCUUCCUGCAACAAGGAUAUAAUCUUUAGCAAAUAGAGCCAGGCUACAUAAAAUUUUGGAUGGCCAUAGAUCCAGAAAUGAAAGAAAUACUAGACAUAUAUAAACACGAAACAUCAAGCUAAUGGGCACAAUAACUUCAAAUUAUUCAAUCCUUAAAAAAAUUCUAGUAUAGAAUAAGUCUAGAUGGCUAGAAAAAAAAAAAUCUACCCAAUUCAUCAAUUACUUUUCCUAGUAGGUUCUGUAUUUCUUUCACUUUUUUCUCCAUGCAGUAAGGCAGCCCAUGUCUUCAAUUCCCAACAGGUUCAGUAUACAGUUGAGUAGAAAAAGGCUCACCAACUAAUAACUUUGGUAAAAAAAGAAAUAAUAGUCGCUCCAUCCCACUGUCUUCCUUCAACUUUCUCACCACCCAUAAAAUAGACUGGCAACACAUUUUCUCCUUGCAUAGUUCCAAACUUUCCAUUUUCUCUCUGCAUACUUCCAAAAUUUACAUUUUCUCCCUGCAUACUUCCCAACUUUCCCUUUAUGAUAACAAUGUAUCUAAUAGCACGAUAUUUGUAAUAGCAGGAUAUACAAAUCACACACAUCAAAAUUUUUUCAAGACUGCAUGGCUAUAAGAAAUGCAUUUCGUGAGAUGUCCACAUUAAAAGGUUCAAGCACUUCGUCGACUAAGCAGUCAGACCAAUUACCAUCUUUUGGGCAUAGGGCAAAGACUUGCAUUUGAAAUCUCAAGAGCUAGGAGAUAUGCUCAAAAUAAGUGUAAAGACAUAAAUAUCACUGAAUAUGAGAAUAAUACUUACCAAAGGAGAAAUUUUUUUUUCUAUAUUGGGAGGAAAGCAGAGAUUGCUGAUUGAUGCUGUGGAAUAUACUAUGCAAAUUUUUUUUUUCUAUUUCAAGAAAAAAAUGUUAACACCAAAUGAAGUAAACGCUUAUACAUACAAACACCACUUAAAUACCCACACCUAGACAUCCAAUGUCCAAAAAACAUGUACGCACUCUGUUAAAACUUUAGAAAGGACAAAGCGUUCUCAUAUUUUGCAUUUCCAAAUCCUAGCAAUCUUCAGUUUUUAAUUUUCCCUGGAAACUGCUUCCUCUUUCUUUUCUUUUUUUUUCCAGUUUCGGAACAUAAAAAACACUUCCCAAUAUUCUAAUGAUCACCUCAAUGCAUGGUGCAUUUUGCAGCAUUUUUGGAAUGCUAUCAAAACUUUCUGAGAGCCUACUAAGGCUUGUCUUUCUUUUUUGAAUUUUCUUUUACCUGGUUCAGAGGAAUGCCUUGAAAAUCACCACUUGGAACUUGCUUUUUACAGAUCCCAAAUCUCAGCUUGAAAAAAGACCAAGACACAAGUAGAAGAGAAAUAAGAAAUACACACCUUUUCCAAGUUAUUUAUACCAUCAAAUUUGUGAAAGAGGCAGUUGUCCAGUAAGUCUAAGCGCUGUGCAAAUGGAAUAAACUCCUGCUUUAGGCGAUGUACUUCUUGCUGAAGUAGACAAUUGCGACCUACUUCCAACUUAGCCACUUCUUUGGCAUGCUUUACACGCUUCUUUUCAAACUUCAAUUGUUUCCUUAACAGCUUGAUUUCAGCAGUUUCAUCUUUCAAACUUUUACCAGAUGCAGGAUGAGAUGACUCAAACAAUUUACCAGAUGAAACAAGUUCCUGAAUCUCUCUUUGCACUUCCUCCAACCUUUUUCUAUUGCCCUCCAGUUCAUGAAACAAAUGAUCUGCAUGAUUUUUUUCCUCCAUGGCUUUCCUCUUGUAUCUUUUUGCAGCCUUCAUCUGGUUUUUUGCUUUCUCAAUCUCAGAUAUUGCCUGCUUCUUUUCUCUAACAUUUUUCUGCUGCCAUUCCCCAAGCUUGUUACAUGCCUCUAGUGCACCAGCUUCACUCUUCCAAGUCAAGGACCCUACUUUACCAGCAAGUUCUGCAAGUCCACCAGGUGGGUUUUCAACGGGAAUGUCAACAAACUUUCUGUUAGAUACAAGAUUAGAUAUCUGCUUCUCCAAUUCUUCAAGCCUAUGUUUAUUUUUGUCCAACUGCCAAGCCAAAGCAUCAGCACGACUUCUCUCAUCCAUAGCUUUCUUCCAAUUUUCCUCCGCAAGCUUACCUUGUUCUGCAGCUUUGGCCUUCUCCAUGUCUGCACGCAUUCUCUCCUUAGUUGUGUUUUCUUUUUCAGCUUUGAGCUUCUUGUUUUCCUGUUCAUGCUUUGCUGUCUCCAACGCCAACUUUGAUUUUGCUUCAUCCACUUCACAUUUUAAGCUCUCCAACUGAUGUCGAAGUUCCUCAACCUUUACCCUUUCAAUAUCAGCAAUCCUCUUUUCUUCGCUGGCCUUCUUUUUUUCUGCAUUUAAUUUUUCUGCUGCAUCUCUGGCUUUUUUCCUCUCCUUCUCAACUUUCUCUUUUUCUGUAUCUACUCUCUUUCUCUCCUUCUGUAAAAGCUCCUUAUGCUUAUUUAUCUCUGUUUCAGCUUCUGAAACACGUUGUUGCAAAUUUGCAACCUCCUCAUCCACUCCUUUAGCUGCCAAACCUCCAUUCUCCUGCAACAAAAGAAUCUGAGACUUCAGAGUAGAAAUCUCAUGCUCUAAAGUAACUCGUGUAGCAGAUUCUAACACUUUAUCUUGCUUUUCACUCUCUGCCCGUGCCCGCUCAUCCUCAAAUGCUGAAAUGGAAAAAUACUCAAACAUAAGCAGACACAAAAAAACAACGACCUGAUUCCCACACCAAAAAUACACUAUCACAAAACUAAAAAAAAAUCUUGCACUAUGACAUUAAAACACAUGAGUUACUCUCCCAAAAUUAAAAUCCGAUGAUAUUCAAUUAGCAUGAUUUGUAUGAAAAUUUCUUAAAGUACUUCAUUAGAUGCAUAAAUGAGCUGAAGUCAGGCCUAAAUUUAGUUUGUUCAAUUUUUAAUUGAAUUUUAUGAAAUUAUAUUUUAAUUUGGCUUAUUAUAAUCCAACCUUAGCCCAUUGAGCUUUUAUCAAGCGAAGGUCAAGUUUUUGCUUGAUCAAUUCACCUAUAAGUCUAUAACUUCAAGUUUUAUGCUUAUUUAACUAAUACUGAAUCCAGUUCGACCUUAAUUUGAUUACUUGACGAAGCCAUCUCACACAGCCUGAUGAUCAAGCCGAACUCAGAUAUAGCACUUUGGUUCGUCUUUCAACCCUAAAUGCAAAUAAAUACAAUUAUUGUGCCUUGACUAACCCUAUGCAUCAUGAUCAAAAAUUACAAUACCCAAAAAAAAAAAAGCAACCGCAAUUUUCUUGAACUUGCACCAGAAAAACAAAUCAUAGUAAUAUAAAUUAUAAAAAGAAUUAUCAACAAUUAUGAAAACAUUGUACCUUUCUUGAGAGCUUGAUAUUCAGAUUUUAGCUUGUCAUUUUCCUGCUCAAGAAGUUUGAUUCCUUUCCGAAGAGCAUUUCGUCCAUCUUCAACCUUGGAAUGCUUCUCUUUUAAUUUCGUAUACUUCUCUUUCCACUAUCAUCAUAUUCAGAAAAAAAAUAUCACAUCAAUGAUAGAAUAUUCAAGAAAAUUAUGCAAUAAUAUUUUUGAAAAAUCAGUGAAAUGAGGAGAGCUUUACCUGUUGACAGCAGGAGUUGCAAGACUCAUCCUUUACCGUAACAUCUUCCUCCAUUACUAACACCAUUACAAAGUGUUAAUCAAAGUUAAGAUCAUCAAAAGCACAUCAUUCCAAGGAAAAAAAUUAUGAUUCCAUAUUUGCGGCUGAAGAGCUCACAAACAUGGAGCUUCUUCAGCGAUGGUGGAAAGGAAGAGGGCGGCGGAAGCGGAGUAGCGGGAAGUGGGAAGUAGGAGAGGGCUCCUGGACGACGGCGUUUGGGGUUUCUUUAAUUCUUACCUUUGAGUAGGGAAGAAAUCGCUUGCUAAUAGAACCAACUGCAUACUCUCAGUCUCAGUUCGGUUUAUUGUUGUGAUAUUUGUGGCUUAUUUGUUGUGGUUUAUUCCUUUCCGGGUGCUUAGUCGGUUUAUCCGGUAAGUGGAGGAGUAAAGGACGACUCUGUAAUUCUUGCGAAGAACCGGACAAACGAAUCAAACCGACUCAAACUGAAGAUAAUUAAUAAUAGCGUCAAAUUUUCAAGGGAUAAUUUCAGAAACCUGCCCCGAGAUUUCUAAUAAUAUCAUUCAGCUCCCCUAUAAUUUUUAAAAUCUUACUUACCUCCCUUAAAUUGACAUUUCUUGUAACAUUUUAACCCCUUUGGAGGAAAUAUAAGAAAGAUAAAACUUUUGUUUCAAUACUACUCUUAUAUUAUCCAAUUUAAGAAAUUUAUAACGAUAAUAAAAAAAAUAAAAUAAGGUUAAAUUUUUAUAAGAUGUAAAUUUCUUGACGUAAAGUAUUUAUUUUGGUUUUAUUAGAACAAAAGCAAAAUUUACACCUUAACAAAUUUAGGCGUAUGAAGAGACUAUUUUAGUUUUCAAUAAAACUUAAAUUACGCCAUGAAUUAAAACAUAUUUUGCCAAAAAAUAUCUUGACUUCUUUAAUUGUAACUGUGCAUGAAAUUUUUUAAGGUGUUAAUUACUCUCUAAAAUCCUCCUAAGUGGUUGAUCUUGAUUAGAUUUAAUUUAUUCAUGUCAUUUACUAUUUCACCAUGACUCCAAUGUAAAGAGAUAUGGAUCAUUAUUAGCUAAUAAUUUGUUUUUUUAAUUUACAUUUUUUGCUUUUAAAAUUUUAUUUUGUUUUGUAUUUUUGGUUAAAUAGCUAUUAAGAGCAAGGGUAAUGUUGUCAAUUUGUGAUCUUUGAUAGAAAUAUUAAGUCUAGUCAAGUUAACAACGGAGGUAAGUGAAAUUUUAAAAAAUUAAGGGGAGCUGAGUGAUAUUAUGACAAACCUCAGGGGAAUUUUCUGAAAUUAUCCCAAUUUUCCACGCUCAAGUUGGGGAGCGGUUGAAAUGAGUCGGGCCUAAAUUUUCUGGUUUGGUUAUGCGUUUGAGAAGAUAGAACCGACAUAAACUAUAAAUUGUAGGUGGAAUAGGUAAUUUGGUUUUUACGUAACCAUAGAGAUGAUAAUCCCAUCACUCAAGUAUAAUAAAAAGAGAGGAUGAUUUACUGUAACCAUCCAGUUUUUCCUAAUGGUACAUGAGUAGGAAAAUACAAGUUUCAGGAGGCAAGCUCUCAAAUUUAUUCCUCAAAUAUCCACGGCCCGCUUCCUCAAACAUGAGUACAUAUAUCUAUAGAUAUUACUAGUUCCCUAAAACACUGGACACCGAAUUAAUCAAGGAAAAGAUAAUACAAUUGGACUCGGACACUUUAACCGACAUAAGCCCAAGGAGACUAAAUACGACUCGGACGUCACACCAAUUUUGGACGCUGAACUAAAUAAUUAAAUAAGACUUGGUU
rnacentral:lncRNA from 1 species